AAUUCAAAGACUCAUCCACCGGACCUUACAAUUUGGUUUCUUCGCACAACAAUCUUCAACCUUUUAUCACCAGCCAUAGAUUUCGUCAACACUUCAUAAUCCUUGACAACAGCGAGAGAUCAUAUUUCACGUGUAGAUCACCAUAACUCCACAUCUAUGUGACUUGAUAUCACUAUAGUUUCGCCUCUGCAUGCACUCAAUCGGUGUAACUUGAUCAUCGCAACUAUGCCCCUUGUGUGAUUCGAUUAUCACUACAACUUCACCUUGAUGCUAGCCCAUCACCACGAUCCACCUUAAACUUUAAACUUGUCGUCAUCUUUAUCGUAAUCUCAAAGUUUGAACCAUGAACGUUUACACCGCUUAUUGCGAAAAAUCUCACUGAA
rnacentral:lncRNA from 1 species